UUGGGUUGUUUGUUUUUGCGUGCAAAACGCUUUGUCCAAUCCGCUCCGCGUGCUCGCACCACACCCAAUCCCAUCCUCUCCCCUGGUCGUCCCGAUCCACACCAGCCGCCACACAACCCUAGCCCCUUUCCCCUCGAUCCCCACAGCCCCUCCCUCCUCCUCGCUCUCCGCCAUGGCCUCUGCACUAGGAGCCUCUCCAUGGCCUCCUACCCAUCCCCCCCACCACCACAGGUGCACACAGACGGUGGAUCUGUGCCGGAGAAGAGCAGCUCCAGUUAUGGUGGGGUACAUCUGUGCCGAAGAUGAAGGAGGUCCGCCGCCCGUCUUUGCCUCCUCGCUGCGUCCUUGUUGCUGCUCCUCCUCUCUCUCUCUCCGCACCUAGCAGUGCAGCAGCCGGGACAAGGGGAAGGAGCAGCUCAACCCGGCUCCAUCUCUCUCUGGAUGAGCAGGUGGCGAGGGAAGCCGCCACAGCUAGCGGCGGUGCUGCACAGGAACGUCCACCUCCAGGUCUCCAUCCUGUCUCAGAUCCCUUUCCGUUUCAGUGUUGUUCUUUUUUCUCUUGGUGUGCGCUCUCCUGCAUCUCGCGCGGCAGGGAGUGGUGGUGACUAGCAUAGAAGGCGGAGGAGGUCAUUGGAGCCGGCUUCCCUUCCGCUUUGGCUGCCAAGCUCCGCGCGUUGGUGAGUCCCUCUCUCUAUCCCUCUACAUCUCUCCCUCUCUCUGUCAGAGGGCAGCUACCAACCCCGAGGUGCAGGCGGCCAUGGAAAAGCAGAAGAUGCCACACCUAGCUUUCCCCCUUGCCUCCUGCCCUUUCUCUUCAGCUCAUUUAUUUACAUGUGCAAAUUCUCUUUUAUCUAUGCCUGCAAGGUGUUUGAUGAAAGUUCAGUAAGGCUUUGAGGGAAUACCAAACAAGAGAGGAUCCAGUAUCUGUAACAUGCAUCAGAUAUAGAUUGCCGGCGGGUGGAUAUAUUGCUCAAAAGAUGUCACUAGUGCUGUACUGCUGUAGAUGCCAUUGAUUUCAUAUAUCAAAGCAUUACAGCUCUUUCAGAUCCUUUGUAUUUCCACUUAGUUAGCUUGAAAAUCUUGUCUACUACGGACACCUCUUGAAAAUUGCAAAGGAGUUCUAACUCCCAACAAGCUUAUUUCCUUAAAAAAUGUAACUGGUACAAUGUUCUACGUACCUUAUGAGAGGUCAGCCCCGGCAUCACAGUCCAUUCCUGAAGAAGUUCACAUGCAUGGUGUUGAUUGUUGAGUUUGCUUGGUUAACGGAAUGACAUGCCUAUGCAGAUCAGCAGGGGGAAGGUCCAGGGUGAAACCUUCAGGAGGGAUUUGAUGUUGCUAUUGUUUCAGUUUGCAGAUAGAGGAUGUGAUUCCAGCAAGACAGAGACGAUGGCGAUGACAAGUGAGAUUUAUGUUAAGGAGUAUUAGCAUAUGCUCACAGGAUCACUGGAAGUUUAUAAAUGUAUCCGCAAUGAUUGUUGCUUUCUUAUUGACACAUAAUUGAAUUAUAAUUAUAGACAGUAAGAGUAGUUGUCUUUUCAUUUGUUAGAAAACAUAGUGUACCUUUAUAAUCGUAGUUAUAUGCAAUGAUCCAUCAUGUAUUUUUGUUUAAAACUGCAACCCGUAAUUGUUUGAUGUCA